UACGAAGGACCCAAGCGUUAUCCGGAUUUAUUGGGUUUAAAGGGUGCGUAGGCGGGUUAUUAAGUCAGUGGUGAAAGCCUUCAGCUUAACUGAAGAAUUGCCAUUGAUACUGAUGAUCUUGAGUAUGAUUGAGGUUGGCGGAAUGUGUCAUGUAGCGGUGAAAUGCUUAGAUAUGACACAGAACACCGAUUGCGAAGGCAGCUAACUAAGCCAUAACUGACGCUGAUGCACGAAAGCGUGGGGAGCAAACAGG
rnacentral:rRNA from 1 species